ACAUGGACUGGUCUCAUCCAGAGCACUUUAAAGAAACCGAUAAGCUCUAUCUUGUUUAACUUGGCCUUUGGAAGACGCUUGUGGAAAUUUCUGCAAAGGAGGUGACAUCAGUUGUUGUCACAGCUGCUGUGAAGUCAAUCCAUAAUAAUGUUAAUGAUGCUACUCCAGACAAGAGAAAAGGAGAGAUUUCAUAUGAAGUGAGAUUCUGCAUAGACAAUGUGUUACUCCUGUA